CGGGUGCUGUUCUUCUCGACAACGGUUGCAUUCCAGUGGCCUUAAGCAAUUCCGAGGGAAUUGGCUCUGUCUGGACCCUGGUCCAGUUAUCCGAUGCCCACCUGUACAUACAGGUCCUCGGGAAUCAUACCACCGAACGGUUGCUACGGGCCCGUC
rnacentral:sRNA from 1 species